rnacentral:rRNA from 1 species
GGUUAUCUGUAUUAAAUAAUAAAUUUGGCCUGCCCAAUGAUUAAAAGGCUGCAGUAUUUUGACUGUACAAAGGUAGCAUAAUCAUUAGUCUUUUAAUUAUGGACUGGUAUGAAAGGUUAGACGGAGUUUGGCUGUCUCUGAAAAUUGGGUUGAAUUUAUUUCUUUGUGAAAAAACAAAGAUGGAUUAGAGGGACAAAAAGACCCUAUUAAACUUAAGCUUUGAUAUUAGUUAUAGAUAUCAAAUUUUACUGGGGAGGUAAAUUACAUAAUUUUUAUAUAAUAUAUUAUUAACAUAAGAUCCAAAGGGUUGAUAAUAAGAAUAAGUUACUAUAGGGAUAACAGCGUAAUAUUUUCUGAGAGUUCUUAUUGACGGAAUUGUUUGCGACCUCGAUGUUGGAUUAAAAAGUCUAGUUGGCGCAAAAUUUGACUAAGAGGGUCUGUUCGACCUUUAACUUUUU